rnacentral:rRNA from 1 species
AUGGAAAAUGAAUCAAUUCAUGUAAGCUUAGGGUGGCUGUGUUCAUCACCAAAAGGGGACAUAAAUCCCAAGUUCAGAUGCAUGGAUCUUCACUCACAUCAACACAACAGAGGAAUAGAAAAGAAAGAAGAAGACUGUAUAAUAGAUGAGGAAAAUUUAUGUAUUUGUAGCAUAGCGAAAGAGGGCUCAGUUUUGUCUUUGAUCUUCAAGCCCAACACUCACAUCUCUUGCUGCAUAACAUACCCAUCGCAAUGUAGACGAACUGCCCAGCUGGUUAUACUCGUCAGAAUGACCAUCCGAGGUGCAGAACAUCCAACAUCACCGACGAGUUGA